rnacentral:rRNA from 1 species
CCUACGGGUGGCAGCAGUGAGGAAUAUUGGUCAAUGGACGCAAGCCUGAACCAGCCAAGCCGCGUGCGGGAAGACGGUUCUAUGUGUUGUAAACUGCUUUUGUCCGGGAAUAAAGGCGGGUACGUGUCUCCGGUUGAGGGUAUCUUAAGACAAAGGAUCGGCUCACUCCGUGCCAGCAGCCGCGGUAAUACGGAGGAUGCGAGCGUUAUCCGGAUUUAUUGGGUUUAAAGGGUGCGUAGGCGGGUUGAUAAGUUCGAGGUGAAAGUCCGGGGGUCAACCCCGGCCGUGCCGUGGAUACUGUCGGGCUAGAGUAUAGGAGCGGUAGGCGGAAUGCAUGGUGUAGCGGUGAAAUGCUUAGAUAUCACACAGAACACCGAUUGCGAAGGCAGCUUACUAAACUAACACUGACGCUGAGGCACGAAAGCGUGGGUAUCAAACAGGAUUAGAUACCCCAGUAGUC